rnacentral:lncRNA from 1 species
AUGUGUACAUCAAUAAGGCAUCCCACAUUCAACAUAAUGAAAAAAUCUUGGAUUAUAGUACAACUCCAUUAGCAUGAGAUUCAAACCCCCCUUCAAAACACACAGACGCUUUGGGUUCUAAGAGUUUUAGGGUUUCGCAUCCUCCUUUUUUCCUCGUAUCUUCAAACACUACCGGAUCCAAUUUAUAUCUCGCUCUCUUUUUCUCUAAAUCUGAGACUUGGUGAUGGUGAUUGAGGAAUCAAAUACUUUGAUCCGCUUAACGAGUGGAAUAGUGGCUCAGGUCGAUGAUGAUCGGUAGAGGCGGAGACCCCUUGGCUGUUUUGAGUUCAUUGAUUUCCUUAAUCGAUGUUGCUAGAAAGCUAGUCUCCUUCGCUAUUACGAGGCUACCAUAUGUUUUUUGAUUCCUUUUGCUCACAUAAUUUGUUAAUUUUGGGUGUGCAUUUGACGAGCGUGGGAAGACAUGGGUGUUGCGGUUGGAUAUUUUUUCGCCAUUGGACCUAAUCGCGUUUAUUUUUUUCUAAAAAUUUUGUUGGACAUUUGAUUAGUUUUGUCAUGGCGCGGUCAUCACUUAUUCCCGGAUUUCCUUUCAUCCUUCCGAUGUUUAAUUGGAUAGGUUUUACCUCAAGAGGACGUUAUAAGAAAAUAAAAUCACAAUCAAUGUCGUUGCAGAAGUAAACAUUUAUGAUUUCAGUCUCUGGGAUUUUUCAUGUUUUAAUCGUUCACGAAACCAUAAUAACUAUAUGUGUAUUUCAUUCUUUUAAAUAACAAUUUUUGUUAGUUUAUU